rnacentral:pre_miRNA from 1 species
UUGACUUUUCAUCUUAUUUGAAUUUUUUUAAGAUUAAUAUUUUUAUUGUUAUCACAUAAUAAAACAUAACUAGUACUUUACGUGUGACUAUUUUUUUUAACUUUUUUAUAAAUUUUUAAAAUAAGACGGAUGGUCAA